rnacentral:lncRNA from 1 species
UAGCGACAGGCGAACCGGCGAAUGACGAGCCAGAUGUUUGCGUCAUUCGUCAGACACACCGCCGAAGCGAGAGAGACCGGCCGCGCAUCUGAGCGUUGGACUGUUCGGGCACCCGUCUGCCUGUUUUUAUAUUUUGGGAUUUAGCCUGGUUUGGUGGCCUCCCGGCGAAUUAUUGCGUUCAUUCGGAACUUCGACAUGGCAGCACUGCACUAUUGGACUACGGCAAGCUCACGUCGUCUGGUGGAUCUUCCUGCGGAAACUACUGCUGCUUACCUGGUGCCACAACGUUGGAUGAAUGCACAAAAAGCCCGCGACGAGGAUUUACAAAGAAUAAAAUAAACGUAAAUUUUUCCUCAUUUCACAA